ensembl:lncRNA
CUUGGGUUGUUGUGUUGAGGGCUUGGUAGGUGGAGUCUUGGGUUGUUGUGUUGAGGGCUUGGUAGGUGGAGUCUUGGGUUGUUGUGUUGAGGGCUUGGUAGGUGGAGUCUUGGGUUGUUGUGUUGAGGGCUUGGUUGGUGGAGUCCUGGGUUGUUGUGUUGAGGGUUUGGUUGGUGGAGUCUUGGGUUGUUGUGUCUGGAUUGGUAACUCGAACACAACAUAUAAAUCAUGUGUGUGCACGUGGAGUGGUGUAGUAGUGUAGUGGUGUAUUAGUGUAGUGUUACCUUGUGUUCCAGUCAUGUCUGUGGUAGUGGUGAUGUUGUUACCUUGUGUUCCAGUCAUGUCUGUGGUGGUGAUGUUGUUGUUAACUUGUGUUCUAGUCAUGUCUGUGGUGGUGAUGCUGUUGUUACCUUUUGUUCCAGUCAUGUCUGUGGUAGUGGUGAUGUUGUUACCUUGUGUUCUAGCCCUGUCUGUGGUGAUGAUGUCGUUACCUUGUGUUCUAG